rnacentral:rRNA from 1 species
UUCGCCCUUAGAGUUUGAUCCUGGCUCAGGAUGAACGCUAGCUACAGGCUUAACACAUGCAAGUCGAGGGGAAACGACAUCGAAAGCUUGCUUUUGAUGGGCGUCGACCGGCGCACGGGUGAGUAACGCGUAUCCAACCUGCCCAUCACUUGGGGAUAACCUUGCGAAAGUAAGACUAAUACCCAAUGAUAUCUCUAGAAGACAUCUGAAAGAGAUUAAAGAUUUAUCGGUGAUGGAUGGGGAUGCGUCUGAUUAGCUUGUUGGCGGGGUAACGGCCCACCAAGGCGACGAUCAGUAGGGGUUCUGAGAGGAAGGUCCCCCACAUUGGAACUGAGACACGGUCCAAACUCCUACGGGAGGCAGCAGUGAGGAAUAUUGGUCAAUGGACGAGAGUUUGAACCAGCCAAGUAGCGUGCAGGAUGACGGCCCUAUGGGUUGUAAACUGCUUUUAUAAGGGAAUAAAGUGAGUCUCGUGAGACUUUUUGCAUGUACCUUAUGAAUAAGGACCGGCUAAUUCCGUGCCAGCAGCCGCGGUAAUACGGAAGGUCCGGGCGUUAUCCGGAUUUAUUGGGUUUAAAGGGAGCGUAGGCCGGAGAUUAAGCGUGUUGUGAAAUGUAGACGCUCAACGUCUGCACUGCAGCGCGAACUGGUUUCCUUGAGUACGCACAAAGUGGGCGGAAUUCGUGGUGUAGCGGUGAAAUGCUUAGAUAUCACGAAGAACUCCGAUUGCGAAGGCAGCUCACUGGAGCGCAACUGACGCUGAAGCUCGAAAGUGCGGGUAUCGAACAGGAUUAGAUACCCUGGUAGUCCGCACGGUAAACGAUGGAUGCCCGCUGUUGGUCUGAAUAGGUCAGCGGCCAAGCGAAAGCAUUAAGCAUCCCACCUGGGGAGUACGCCGGCAACGGUGAAACUCAAAGGAAUUGACGG